AUGGAGAACGGCUGUAAUCUUCGGCAUGUGAAGAACAAAUUUAUUGGAAUUUGUUGUCAUUCCUCAUCUUCUGGUCUUGUUCUUGAUGCCGAUUUUACUUCUUCACUCUGUUUGAUCAAUCCAUCUCGCCACGCGCACAUGCCCGAUGGAGCAAUUCACAAAACGCAAGUAUUUAUUAGAUCUUUGAUUGAUUGCAGGAAGACAAAACAAAUUGAACAAUCUUCUGAUCGGAUUUUCCUCUUCUACGGAUGUACGCAUGACCAUGGAUUCUUGCCAUGGACAGGAUUGUGGCUGAUUGAAUCAGUAGCGACAUGCUUUCUCCUCUUAUCGUGUGGCCAUUUUCUCGACGGAGAGCAAAAGUGCGUGAUAACCUGUUUAAAGUAA
rnacentral:rRNA from 1 species